rnacentral:lncRNA from 1 species
AAAUCUGGUGGCCAAGGACCUCCCGGUUUACACAUAUGGUGCCAGGGGAGAGCUGAUUACAGAGUUCCCCUACAUGCAGGUGCAGGAAGACUGAGGAACCCCAAAAAUAUCCUCCCCCCAGCUCACUGUUAUCCACACGGUGAUUUUCACAUUUCUCUUUAUGGAUGCAUUUCUGAGCUGGCUUGUACCUUGCAGGACGACUGCUUCUACGAGGGCUUUGUGGAAGGGUCGCCAGGCUCCAUCGUGGCCCUCAGCACCUGCUAUGGGAUCAGGUAGGGCCACGCAAUGAGCAAUGCAUUGUGGAUUACAGUAUGGGGUCAGGUGUGGCCGUGCAUUAAGAAAUGCAUCGUGGAUUUUUAGGAUGUAAAUGCAUCUGCAGAAAGAUCCUGCUUGGCCACACCGCAGUGCUGGUGCGGAAAUAAGCAGCCUAAAGAUGGAUCCUCCCUAAGAGAUGUGCAGCACGGAGCUUCUAUUGCCUUCUCCCUAUCAUUUAAUAUUUAGGAUUUGGACUUGAUGGUCCUUAUGGGCCCCUUCCAAGUCAGGAUAUUCUAUGAUUCUGUGAUUCUCUGAGCAAUGUAUAGCAUUCAUCGGCAGUUUCUUAACUCUUCCCCAAAGCUUUGAUUGCUCUUUCAGGGAUGUCUCAUAUACCCCAAACACCGGGCACGAUGCUCUUUGUAUCUUCUCGCUGGAUCCCCUCCUACAGGUUCAUAGAACCAUGGAAUCACAGAAUCGUUCAGGCUGGAGAAUCAUCGGGCUGACCUCCAAGAUCCCCAACCCCAACCCAUCAGCGCCAACGACCCCAUCCCUCAAUGCCACAUCCCCACAGUUAUGAACACCCCCAGGGAUGGUGACCCUCCCACUCUUUGGAGUGGGAGGCUGUGCCACUGCAUCACCACUCUUUGGAGAAGAAAUUAUCCCUAAUACCCAACCUGACCCCCCCCCGGCACAACGCGAGGCCAUCACCCCUCACCCUAUUACUGUUACCUGGGAGCAGAGGCCGACCUCCCCCUCACUACAACCUCCUUUCAGUGCUCCAAAAGGCGUUUUUCUCACUCCAUCCUCCCCAAACAUAUAGGCUAUGGACUGUUGGGGUUUCUGGCUGAUGGCCCAAGCCCUCGGGACGGCCCACCCCACCCCACCAGCAUUUGGCUUCUUCCCUUUACUACUACUCACCUCUCUCUGCCUGAACACCCAGGGGAAUUCU